GAUGAAGAACGUAGUGAAAUGCGAUAAGUAAUGUGAAUUGCAGAAUCCAGUGAAUCAUCGAAUCUUUGAACGCACAUUGCGCCCGCUGGUAUUCCGGCGGGCAUGCCUGUUCGAGCGUCAUUUCAACCCUCAAGCCCCCGGGUUUGGUGUUGGGGAUCGGCUCUGCCCUCUGGGCGGUGCCGCCCCCGAAAUACAUUGGCGGUCUCGCUGCAGCCUCCAUUGCGUAGUAGCUAACACCUCGCAACUGGAACGCGGCGCGGCCAUGCCGUAAAACCCCAACUUCUGAAUGUUGACCUCGGAUCAGGUAGGAAUACCCGCUGAACUUAAGCAUAUCAAUAAGCGGAGGA
rnacentral:misc_RNA from 1 species